CGCGGGGUGGAGCAGCACGGUAGCUCGUCGGGCUCAUAACCCGAAGGUCGCAGGUUCAAAUCCUGUCCCCGCAACCAA
rnacentral:tRNA from 1 species